UACGAAGGGUGCAAACGUUGCUCGGAAUCAUUGGGCGUAAAGCGCACGUAGGCGGUGGCGUAAGCGGGAUGUGAAAGCCCAGGGCUCAACCCUGGAAGUGCAUCCCGAACUGUGUCGCUUGAAUCUCGGAGGGGGACAGAGAAUUCCCGGUGUAGAGGUGAAAUUCGUAGAUAUCGGGAGGAAUACCAGUGGCGAAGGCGAUGUCCUGGACGAAGAUUGACGCUGAGGUGCGAAAGCGUGGGGAGCAAACAGG
rnacentral:rRNA from 1 species